GCAUGAUAGUCAUAAAUGUCACCCUAAUAGUGCUGCCACUACUGAGUGCCUGUAAUGUUCCCAAGGGCUGGCUAAGCCCUUGUAUUUAUUGUCACCUGCAAGAGAGGUGUGACCCCAUCUCACAUUUGCUGGGUGCCUCUCAGCUAGGAAAGGGCAGAGCUUAAGGGCUUUGUAUUUUUGCCAUGGUAUGCAGCAGCUUUGAAAGGAACUGGACUGAAAAUUAUAGUGAGUGAGAUUGAAAUUAGACAGAAGGCAUUUCCAGUCAUGAGCUGUGUGUGCGCAUGCCCCUUCACAGUGGACCAAAGCUUAAACCAGCGGCUUGAGCAACAUAAGGGUGGCUUGGGCCAGAAAAGGGUUCCUGGAAGUGGCAUCUCUGAGCUCUGUUCUAGGCAGAAGAGCCUCCUGCUGAGAAGUGAGGGGAGAAAAGGAGGGAGCAGUCUGCACAAUUUAAUCUCACAAAGCAGUGCCCUCAAUAAGAGUCAAAAGCAGGUAGAGUUGGGAGGGACUUUCCAUUCUAAUUCUCUAAAGAUGGGAAAACUCAGAGAAGCUGAAUGACAAAGUAGCAUUCAAGGAAGGAAGAACACUACAGCUCUUCCAAGAUGGAAUGAGCUGCCUUGAGAAGUAAUGAGUUCGCUGCCCCUGGAGGCAUUCAGGCACAGGCUCAGUGACUACUCUGAAGGAAGCUGUAGGGGUGACUCCUGCCUUAGGUGGGAGCGUGGACUGAUGGCCUCCAGGGUUCCUUCUGACCCACAGAAUCUGUGGUUCUAUGCCUGGCUUAGUUACUGAAUGCUUGCUCUGCACCUGAUACUGUUUAAGUACUUUUAGUAAUUUAUGCGAAUUAAUUAUUUCCUUUAAUUCAUCAAGCAUUUGUAGAGUCCCUGCUCUGUGCUAGGGGUUUAGGAUCAGUGAACAAAACAAAGAUCCCUGCCCUCAUGGAGCUUAUGAAUUCUAACUGGAAGAGACAGUCAAGGAAUAAUAAAUAUAUGGUAUGUUAAUAGACAAAACAUGCUAGGAAAAAAUUAGACCAGGGUGAGAGGGAUUGGGAGUAUGGGCUAGGGGUGGUGAUGGUGAUAAUUGCAAUUUUAAAUCGGAUGAACAACGUGACUAGUGAGUUGGACUGAGAAGGUGACAUUUAAGCAAAGACUUAAUGGAGGCAAAAGGAGUAAGCUACACAGCCAACUGGGGGAGGAGUGUUCCAGGCAGAGGCAGCCACCAGUGCAAAGGCCCUGAGGCCUGCAGGCCCAGUGAGCCUGCUGUGUUUGAGGAGCAGCAGGGGUGUCAGUGUGGCUGCAGCAGAGAGAGCAAGAGGGAGAGUGGCUGAAGUGGGUGUUAAAUGGGUAGUGGAG
rnacentral:lncRNA from 10 species